UGCCUCACUCUGAUGAGAGAGCCCUUCUCUGGAGUUAGGAAUGGUGGACCUUCAAGGGAGCAUGUUGGAGAGCCACCAGCCAUUUCCCUGCAGGAGCAACAAUGCUGUGCAGCAGGGUCGGCCCUGAGAAAAAGGGUUUCAGGACAGGAGAGCUUCAUUCUGAGAGAGAAAGGUACAAAAACUCCAAAUCAAGGUUCCAACGAGUCAAGGGAAUGCCAGCAUGCUCCACAAGCACAGAUAACAAAACUGUAACAGUUUGUUUGUAUUGUGCUACAGACUUUGUGAAACUGAGUUUGAACAUUUAUUUCGAGUUUUGGACUGGAUGACACCUUGAUGAUGCCUGAUGUGGAUAUGAUGACACUGUGAAAUGCCAGUUUAAUGGAAGAUCCUAACUUUAAAGCCUGAUGUGACGGCCUGCAGUCUGUUGGCUGUGGAAUAAAGAUUUCACAUGAAGACAACAGCUUUAAAUUGUUAUAGGUUUUCUAUAUAUGGCAUAUGUUGAAGCUUUUACUACUCUAUUUUGUACUUGUAUUAUCUGUAUCUUUAUUGUAUUUUUAACUUACUGCAUCUUGUUUUAUUUCUUUUAUAAGUCUUAGGUAUCAAAUAAUUUUUA